rnacentral:lncRNA from 1 species
CUGAUGUGAACCUAGAAGGUGUAGCCAUGUGAGAGGACCACGUCAUUAUUAUGAAAGGGGCUCUUAAAAUUGCCACCCAAGUAGAUGCUGUUGGGGAUGGGGUGAGGGAAGGAAAGUGAAAGGGGAGGGAAGGGAAGGGAGAGGAGAAGGCCACACACAAUCUUAAAUUCAAUAUUUCACUCCCAUUAAAGAUAAGCUGUUUAUAAGCUUCAGUGUAGGGCAUAUAAUUCUAUGUAAAAACUCUGUGGUUCCUCUUCCCAAACAUAAAUCAUAAAUCAUGAUCAUUCUACACUCUGCUCUCUGGGAGUCCUCGAGGCAAAGAGACAACAGGACACGAGGUAUGGUAAUAAAAAAGUCUGGGUAUUAUAAAAUCCACCCUGAGCUCCAAGAAGAAAAGGCUAACAAGAAGAGAGGUCUGAAAAGUACUAAUUUACCCAGAGUCACAGAAAGGACUUAGCGCCAGAGUCUCUCUGUGGUAGCUGAGGAGUGCCCCCUACAGUCUGACGUGCGCAACGCAAGCAGAUGACGAGGAAAGAACUGAGCAGCAGUUUCAGGAUUCUCAAUAAGGCAUCGAAGAAAGAAAGGUUUAAUCACGUUUUUUCACCCAAAAGAGACUCUAGAAGUGAAGAUGGCUCAUAUCACAAUGUAACCACUAGAUGGCAGCACAAACCCAUCUCAGAAUUAUUCCCAAAGCAGCCAGAGACCUCAGACCAGCUGUUACAAGGCGCCCCCACAGUUGAGCACAAUAAGCCAAGGAUCCACCAUUGGGAGUCACUUUCCUAUGUCACCUGGACCUUUCAAAACUUCCAUGGAUAUAUCCUUGGUUUGCAAUUCUUCUCUCAACAAUAUUCUCUGUAUGUAUUGCUUUCUCUUGGCCUUAUUUAUAUAUUCAUUUAAAAACAUUAACAUCUAUUGAGAGCUGACAUGUUCCACAAACUAUUGUAGUGGGAAACAAUAUUGAGAAAGAUGGCAAUGAUCCUGCCCUCAUGGAAGCUGAGUUCUAGUGAGAGAGACAGAUAACAUUCAGGUGAACAUCCAUUCAUUCAACUCACGUCGUCUACUGAGCACUUUGAUGAACUACUGAACAAUGUGCCAGACACUGUUCUAGCCUCUGAGGAUACAGCCCUGAAUGAAACACGCGCACGCGCACACACACACACACACACACACACACACACACACUGCCCUAGGGAGCUUAUAUACUGGAAAGGGACAUCGGUGAUAAAGUGUAAAAGCCACGUGUAUAAGUGUGUGAUUUACACUGAAUUCCCUAGAAGACAGAACCUGAGGC